rnacentral:rRNA from 1 species
UCCUGACUGACCGAUAGUGAACCAGUACCGUGAGGGAAAGGCGAAAAGAACCCCGGCGAGGGGAGUGAAAAAGAACCUGAAACCGUGUACGUACAAGCAGUGGGAGCACGCUUAGGCGUGUGACUGCGUACCUUUUGUAUAAUGGGUCAGCGACUUAUAUUCUGUAGCAAGGUUAACCGAAUAGGGGAGCCGAAGGGAAACCGAGUCUUAACUGGGCGUUAAGUUGCAGGGUAUAGACCCGAAACCCGGUGAUCUAGCCAUGGGCAGGUUGAAGGUUGGGUAACACUAACUGGAGGACCGAACCGACUAAUGUUGAAAAAUUAGCGGAUGACUUGUGGCUGGGGGUGAAAGGCCAAUCAAACCGGGAGAUAGCUGGUUCUCCCCGAAAGCUAUUUAGGUAGCGCCUCGUGAAUUCAUCUCCGGGGGUAGAGCACUGUUUCGGCAAGGGGGUCAUCCCGACUUACCAACCCGAUGCAAACUGCGAAUACCGGAGAAUGUUAUCACGGGAGACACACGGCGGG